rnacentral:ncRNA from 1 species
UUCUUUGUGACUGACGGAAUUUGUGGAUAACCACAGGGAAGCAAAGGAUCACAUAAGCCGACCGUCUGGGCACAC